GUGUCACUUAGGGGUCCCCCAAUGUCCCCCAUUGUCCCCUGGGGCGUCCCCAGUGUCACUUAUGGGUCCCCCCGUGUCACUUAUGGGUCCCCCAGUGUCCCCCCCAGUGUCACUUAGGGGUCCCCAAUGUCCCCCAAUGUCCCCUGGGGGUCCCCAGUGUCACUUAUGGGUCCCCCAAUGUCCCCCGAUGUCCCCCCAUGUCACUUUGGGUCCCCAAUGUCCCCUGGGGGUCCCCGAUGUCACUUAGGGGGCCCCCCCGGUGUCACUUUGGGGUCCCCCAAUGUCCCCUGGGGGUCCCUGAUGUCACUUGGGGGUCCCCAAUGUCACUUAGGGGUCCGCCAGUGCCACUUUGGGGUCCCCAAUGUCCCCUGGGGGUCCCCCAAUGUCACUUAGGGGUCCCCAGUGUCCCCCAUUGUCCCCCAGUGUCACUUAGGGGUCCCCCAAUGUCCCCUGGGGGUCCCCGAUGUCACUUAUGGGUCCCCAGUGUCCCCCAUUGUCCCCCAGUGUCACUUAUGGGUCCCCAAUGUCCCCCAUUGUCCCCAAGUGUCACUUAGGGGUCCCCCAAUGUCCCCCAGUGUCCCCUG
rnacentral:lncRNA from 1 species